GUGAGGAAUUUUCCGCAAUGGGCGAAAGCCUGACGGAGCAAUGCCGCGUGAAGGAUGAAGGCCUAUGGGUUGUAAACUUCUUUUCUCAGAAAAGAAUUAUGACGGUAUCUGAGGAAUAAGCAUCGGCUAACUCUGUGCCAGCAGCCGCGGUAAGACAGAGGAUGCAAGCGUUAUCCGGAAUGAUUGGGCGUAAAGCGUCUGUAGGUUGUUUAAAAAGUAUUCUGUCAAAGAUUAGGGCUUAACCCUAGAUAGGCAGAAUAAACUUUUAAGCUAGAGUUUGGUGGAGGCAGAGGGAAUUCCCGGUGGAGCGGUGAAAUGCGUAGAUAUCGGGAGGAACACCAAAGGCGAAGGCACUCUGCUGGGCCAAUACUAACACUGAGAGACGAAAGCGAGGGGAGCAAAUGGGAUUAGAAACCCCAGUAGUCC
rnacentral:rRNA from 1 species